UGAACCAACAAGACCGAUAGACAGCAAAAAGCAGCUUUUCUUAGGAGUGCCUUGACUUUGACGCACCGGAAUCAUAUAAUUUAUUCAUACUAGGCAAAGGGCAAAGAACACGGGAAGGCCGGCUUCCCGAUGUGAGAGAGUGAAGGAGAGGCAGUGGGUGGAAGUGAGCGGAUUGAAAAAUGGAAGUGGAAAAGACAGCUGAACUGGCUGUUUCUGUGGACAGGGUCAGGCCUCCCGCUGCGGACAGUCAAGACUGAGUCGAAAUCGCUGACAGCACAGUACAAGCAGCUGAGAGCCAGAGAACAACAGGAAAC